rnacentral:rRNA from 1 species
CGAUACAUAGGGGGACUGAGAGGUUAACCCCCCCACACUGGUACUGAGACACGGACCAGACUCCUACGGGAGGCAGCAGUGAGGAAUAUUGGUCAAUGGACGCAAGUCUGAACCAGCCAUGCCGCGUGCGAGGAAGACGGCUCUAUGAGUUGUAAACUGUUUUUGUACGAGGGUAAACUCACCUACGUGUAGGUGACGAAAGAUC